rnacentral:hammerhead_ribozyme from 1 species
AUCCAGCUGACGAGUCCCCAAUAAUAUGAAACGCGCGUCCUGCAU